GUCCAAGUUAGACGACAACACAACCGGACAAGAACUGGAUGGAAAUGAAAUGUGGGUCACAAAAGGAACCCGAAAGAAACCCGAAAGAAACCCGAAGGGACAAAGGCUGCUAAGUUGUUGCUAGCUGGUGUCUAAGCAAAUUAAGAUGAAAGAGGAAGCCAGUGAACAAGAAUUAGAAAACCUAAAGACUUUCCUGUCUCAGAAGAGGCUCUGGCUCCACCAGAUCACCAACCAGUUCUGAGGAUGAACCUCCACAUCGUCUUCAUGGUGGAAGGCUCUUUGUUUUUUUACACUGAGCAGCUGGCCACAUUUUUAACAGCAAAAACUGGGCCCUGUGAUGGACUGGUGACCUGUCCAGGGUGAACCCCGCCUCUCAUCUGAUGACUGCUAGAGAUGGGCACCACCAGCCCCCCUCACCACCAUGCAAGGAUCAGAGUGUUCAGAUCAUGGAUGGUAAGAUUGUAAGGCAAAGAAGACCCCC